rnacentral:lncRNA from 1 species
UCUUGACCAAAUUUGUAACCCUCAUUAGCAGAUUCAUUUUCAGUAGUUUCCCUGAUCAAACUAGAGGUUACCAAGGAACCAUGCAUAGCACUGAAUAGGGAACCGCCGAAUACACCAGCUACACCUAACAUGUGGAAUGGAUGCAUAAGGAUGUUGUGCUCUGCCUGGAAUACAAUCAUAAAGUUGAAAGUACCAGAGAUUCCUAAAGGCAUACCAUCAGAAAAGCUUCCUUGACCAAUAGGGUAAAUCAAGAAAACAGCAGUAGCAGCUGCAACAGGAGCUGAAUAUGCAACAGCAAUCCAAGGACGCAUACCCAGACGGAAACUAAGUUCCCACUCACGACCCAUAUAACAAGCUACACCAAGUAAGAAGUGUAGAACAAUUAGCUCAUAAGGACCACCAUUGUAUAACCACUCAUCAACAGAUGCGGCUUCCCAAAUUGGGUAAAAGUGCAAUCCGAUCGCCGCAGAAGUAGGGAUAAUAGCACCAGAGAUAAUAUUGUUUCCAUAAAGUAAAGAACCAGAAACAGGCUCACGAAUACCAUCAAUAUCUACUGGAGGGGCAGCGAUGAAGGCGAUAAUAAAUACAGAAGUUGCGGUCAAUAAGGUAGGGAUCAUCAAAACACCGAACCAUCCGAUGUAAAGACGAUUUUCAGUGCUAGUUAUCCAGUUGCAGAAGCGACCCCACAGGCUUGUACUUUCGCGUCUCUCUAAAAUUGCAGUCAUGGUAAGAUCUUGGUUUAUUCAAAUUGCAAGGACUCCCAAGCACACGUAUUAACUAGAAUAUAGAUAAUAGAAGGCUUGUUAUUUAACAGUAUAACAUAGACUAUAUACCAAUGUCAACCAAGUCAGCCCAAAGAUUAGCUAUCCAUAUAACUAAAUUAACCAAACCAAUAAUUUUGUAUUUGUAAAUGAAGUGAGUCAAAGUUAAAAACUUUGAUGGGUCUUUUCUAUAUGGGUUGCCCGGGACUCGAACCCGGAACUAGUCGGAUGGAGUAGAUAAUUCUUCCUUGUUACAAUAGAGAAAAAUCCCUCCCCAAAUCGUGCUUGCAUUUUUCAUUGCACACGACUUUCCCUAUGUAGAAAUAGCCAAUUUCUACUGGAGGGGCAGCGAUGAAGGCGAUAAUAAAUACAGAAGUUGCGGUCAAUAAGGUAGGGAUCAUCAAAACACCGAACCAUCCGAUGUAAAGACGAUUUUCAGUGCUAGUUAUCCAGUUGCAGAAGCGACCCCACAGGCUUGUACUUUCGCGUCUCUCUAAAAUUGCAGUCAUGGUAAGAUCUUGGUUUAUUCAAAUUGCAAGGACUCCCAAGCACACGUAUUAACUAGAAUAUAGAUAAUAGAAGGCUUGUUAUUUAACAGUAUAACAUAGACUAUAUACCAAUGUCAACCAAGUCAGCCCAAAGAUUAGCUAUCCAUCUAACUAAAUUAACCAAACCAAUAAUUUUGUAUUUGUAAAUGAAGUGAGUCAAAGUUAAAAACUUUGAUGGGUCUUUUCUAUAUGGGUUGCCCGGGACUCGAACCCGGAACUAGUCGGAUGGAGUAGAUAAUUCUUCCUUGUUACAAUAGAGAAAAAUCCCUCCCCAAAUCGUGCUUGCAUUUUUCAUUGCACACGACUUUCCCUAUGUAGAAAUAGCCAAUUUCUAUUCCAAAGAGGAAGUUCUACUAAUUUUUUUAAUUAGUAAGUUGAUUCACCUACUCUUUAUUAUAAUAAAAAGAAGAUUUUCAGUGCUAGUUAUCCAGUUGCAGAAGCGACCCCACAGGCUUGUACUUUCGCGUCUCUCUAAAAUUGCAGUCAUGGUAAGAUCUUGGUUUAUUCAAAUUGCAAGGACUCCCAAGCACACGUAUUAACUAGAAUAUAGAUAAUAGAAGGCUUGUUAUUUAACAGUAUAACAUAGACUAUAUACCAAUGUCAACCAAGUCAGCCCAAAGAUUAGCUAUCCAUAUAACUAAAUUAACCAAACCAAUAAUUUUGUAUUUGUAAAUGAAGUGAGUCAAAGUUAAAAACUUUGAUGGGUCUUUUCUAUAUGGGUUGCCCGGGACUCGAACCCGGAACUAGUCGGAUGGAGUAGAUAAUUCUUCCUUGUUACAAUAGAGAAAAAUCCCUCCCCAAAUCGUGCUUGCAUUUUUCAUUGCACACGACUUUCCCUAUGUAGAAAUAGCCAAUUUCUAUUCCAAAGAGGAAGUUCUACUAAUUUUUUUAAUUAGUAAGUUGAUUCACCUACUCUUUCUUAUAAUAAAAAGAACAUUUCAGAAUGAAAAAUAGAAAAGUUUUUUCUUGAUCAUUUAUCAACCCUUUCCUGUUUCUUAAUUUCGUCUAAUGAUUAAUUAAGAGGGUUGACCGGGUCAUUGAUACGUAUAAUAUCCAAAUACCAAAUACGCUCAGUGUGUGAUCCACAGAAAGAAAAAAGAGUUGUUUUGGUGAACAUCAAAGAAAAAACUUGCUCUUCUUCCAUAAAAAAUUCUUCUAAAAAUGCCGAACCCAAUCGUUGCAUAAAAGUUCGUACCGUGCUUUUAUGUUUCCGAGAUAAAGUUCUAGCGCAUGAAAGUCGAAGUAUAUACUUUAGUCGAUACAAAGUCCGUUUUUUCGAAGAUCCACUAUGAUAAUGAAAAAGAUUUCUACAUAUCCGACCAAAUCGAUCAAGAAUAUCCCAAUCUGAUAAAUCUGUCCAAAUGGGUUUACUAAUAGGAUGCCCCGAUCCAGUACAAAAUUGAGCUUUUGAUAAGUAUCCUAUGAGGAGAGUAGCGGGGACUAUGGUAUCGAAUUUUUUCAUUCGAGUAUCUAUUAGAAAUGAAUUCUCCAGCAUUUGAUUCCUUACUAACAAAGAACUUUUUUGUACACUUGAAAGGUACCCCAUAAAAUCGAAGCAAGAGUUUGCUAAUUGGUUUAUAUGGAUUCUUUGCGGCUGAGUCCAAAAACAGAAAUAAUAUUGCCAGAAAUUGAUAAGGUAGCAUUUCCAUUUCUUCUUCAAAAAAAAGUGCCUUUUGAUGCAAGAAUUGCCUUUCCUUGAUAUCGAACAUAAUGCAUAAGAGGAUCCAUAAAGAACCAUAGGGUUUUCCGAGAAAAACCAGGGUACAUUAUCCCAAAAUGUUCCAUCUUCCUGGAAAAGUGGAUUCGUUCCAGAAAAGUUCCAGAAGAUGCUAAUGGUAAGCAAGAAGAUGUUUACGAAGAAACAACAAAAAAAAUUCAUAUUCUGAUACAUAAGAGUUAUAUAGGAAUCGAAAUAGUCUUUUAUUUUCGUUUUGAAAAUAAAAAAUGGAUUUCAUUGAAGUAAUAAAACUAUUCCAAUUCGAAUAAUAGUUGAGAAAGAAUCGCAAUAAAUGCAAAGAUGGAACAUCUUGGAUACGGUAUUGAAGGAGUUGAACCAGGAUUUCCAAAUGGAUAGGAUAGGGUAUUUCUAUAUGUGAUAGAUAAUCCAAAUGCAAAAAUUUGUCUUCUAAAAAGGGAAAUAUUGAAUGAAUAGAGCGUAAAGUCUGAAACUUUAGUAUUUCUUUUUCUUUCGGACAAAAUAAUUCCCGUAGCGAGAAUGGGAUUUCCACAACGAUCGCAAACCCUUCAGAUAGAAUCUGAGAAUAAAACUCAGAAUAAAAAUAAUUUUUGUAAUCCAAUAAUCGAUCUUGGUUAGGAUGAUUAACCGAGUUAUCCAAAAAAUGCUGCUGAUACAUUCGAAUAAUUAAACGUUUCACAAGUAGUGAACUAAAUUUCUUGUUAUUACAACUAACAACUAUUUCCACAGGUUCAGAACCAUUUAAUCCAUAAUGGUGGGCAAAUGCAUAAAUAUAUUCCUGAAAGAGAAGUGGGUAGACAAAUUAUUGUUGACGAGAUUUAUGUUUUUCUGAAUACCCUUCGAAUUUUUCCAUUUGUAUUUCUACUUGAAUCAGAGAGAAGAAGCAUUUCUCGGUUUAUCGAAUGAUGAUACAUAGUGCAAUAUGGUCAAAACAGGGUGUUGCAUUUUUAAUACAAACCCUGGAAAGAAAGGGAGUCUAAUCCACAGAUCUUUUUCUGCUCCUUUUCUACCCAAUUAGUUUAUGUUUGUUCUAAUUAAAAGAAAGAACAGAACAAUUUUUUUAUUUUUGCAGGCCAAUCGCUCUUUUGACUUUGGAAUACAGCCUCUUUAUCAAUAUACUGCUUCUUUUACACAUUCAAUCCAUAACAUCCCUUAUUCAAUCCAUAAUCAAGAAUAAUUAGGAUUUCUAAAAAAAAGAAAAAAUAAAGGGUCCACUCACAGGAAAACCCAACCUUUCCCCGCAUCCGGCACUAAUCUAUUUUUAACGUCUAAUUAGAGCGGGGAAUCAUUCCAAUUAGGAAGUUCAGCUUGUUGCUUUUUAUUUUACCAGAAUUGGAGCCAGGCUCUAUCCAUUUAUUCAUUAGACCCAGAAAAUCGUAAUUUUGGAUUCCAUUCAAAAAAGAUUGAUUUUAUUACGACAUGCUAUUUUUUCCAUUCAUUACCUUUGAGGAUCAGUCGUGGUCUUCUAGACUCUACCAAGAGUCUCGACGAAUUUGUUGUUUCAUCCAAAUGUGUAAAAGAUCAUAGUCGCACUUAAAAGCUGAGUACUCUACCAUUGAGUUAGCAACCCAGAUAAAAAAAGGAUCUUAGAUACGAUCGAAAUCCAAAAAUCAAUGGAAUUACACCGCGCGCUUCUGUCAAAACAUUGAACUAGCAAGACAUCAAAAGAUUUUUUUAUCGACCAUGAAAAACACUCAAAUGCCAAAACGAACAGGUCCGGUUAAAUUCCACUAAAGUAAAGUUAAAAAAAGAGCGACCCUAAUCACGAUGGCCAAAUUCUCCUUAUUUUUAGCGAUUUUUAUUAAAAAUAAAUAUAUAUUAUAUUGUAUGAGAAUACAUGCAAGAGGAACACCCUUAUCAUUUGAGCGAAGUGUAGGCGCAAAAAUUGAAUAUGGAGUGAGGAUAAAGAGACCCAUCUAUCUACAAAUUCUAUUUGUUCAAUAGACCUUUGUCAAUGGAAAUACAAUGGUAAGAAAACAAAUUAGAUAGAAAAAGUAAAUAAAAUAGGGUCUUAUGUUGGAUUGGCACGAUAUAAUAUAAAUCCAAAUAGGAUUAAAAAAGAGGUAAAUUGUGUCUAAAUAAUUAGACAACUAGGAAUACUAAUAAUCUUCUCCUAUCCUACUUUUUGAUUCAUUUAGUUCUUCAAUUAACUCAAAGUUCUUUCUUUUUCUUUAAAGAAUUCCGCCUUCCUUAAAAUAUCAUAAACAGUUCUUGUUGGUUGAGCACCCUUUUCAAGGAAAUAGAGAAUAGCUGGAACAUUUAAACAAGUUUGAUUCUUUAUCGGAUCAUAAAAACCUACUUUUUGAAGAUCUCUUCCUUCUCUUCGAGAUCGAACAUCAAUUGCAACGAUUCGAUAGACAGCUUAUUGGGAUAGAUGUAAAUAAACAACGCCCCCUAGAAACGUAUAAGAGGUUUUCUCCUCAUACGGCUCGAGAAAAUGAUUCGAAUUUCUGUCGAUAAUAAUAGAAAUUAGACUAUGACGUGCAUUAAUUUCCUUACAGAAAAAACAAAUUUCAUUUAUACUCAUGACUCAAGUGGGCUAAUUUUGCCUGACAAACUUCGAAGGCAAAAUCCUUCCAAAAUUUUUGAGUCGUCUUUAAACUCUUUUCUUUGUCUCAUUUCGAACGAAUUGACUUUUAUUCCUUAUUCUGAUCCAACUCUGUUGUUGAGACAAUUGAAAAUUGUGUUUACUUGUUCUGGAAUCCUUUAUCUUUGAUUUGUGAUAUCCUUGGGUUUAGACAUUACUUCGGGAAUUCCUAUUUUUUUCUUUCAAAAGAGUAGCAACAUACCCUUUUUUCUUAUUUCCUUCGAUAAAGCAUUUGUCUCUUCUAUAGAAAUCUAAUAAGAGGGAUUGAUUCUGAUAUACUUUUAUUGGACUUUAUUCUUAUUUUAACCUUUCGAUUUAUUUCUAUAUUAAGGAUAGACUGACAAAGUUGGCCUAAUUUAUUAGUUUUCACUAACCCUAGAUUCUUUCCCUUGAUAAAAAAAAUUCUGUCCUCUCGAGCUCCAUCGUGUACUAUGUUACUUAAACCCAGCGCAAAUUUGGUUCGGAACGAAUAGAAUAGGCUAUGUCGAGCCAAGAGCAUUUUCAUUACUAUGGAAAAUGAUGGAUAGAAAAAUCCACAAUCGAUCAUGUCCUUCAAGUCGCACGUUGCUUUCUACCACAUCGUUUUAAACAAAGUUUUACCAUAACAAACAUUCCUCUUUUCAUUGCAAAGUGGUAUAGAGAAUUGAUCCAAUAUGGAUGGAAUCAUGAAUAGUCAUUGGUUUAGUUUUUUUAUACUAAUAAAAAUUUCUAUCUAUGGAGCAAUAUGGAUAAAAGAAAGUAAGUAUUUAUCCGGGAAGCCUCCGCCAAGAUCCAAUUUAUUUAAACCCAUAUUAAAAUUCUAUCAUAUGAAUGAAACAUAGUUUGAAAAAGACGACUAAACAAGUUUGCUUAAAACUUAUUUAUUCUUAAAUUUCCACCCUCAACGGAUGGCUCGAGAUGAUCAAUCUUGAAGUGAGAAAAGAAGGAUUGACUCUUCCUCAAUAAAUAAACUAUCAACCUCCAAAAAAGUUUAAUUAAUUUAAUUACUAGAAUUAGAAUUCUAGUAGUAAUAUAUUUUUUCAGUACCAAAAACAAUUAACUAUAAUAACUAAAUAAACUAUUCCAAUGAAAAGAUUGAAAGUUUUUGGUAGUUAUAGAAUUCUCGUACUUCUUCAACUCGAAUACCAAAAGGAAGAAAAAAUAUGACUAAGUGAUUUUAUAGUAGAGGCAUAUCGUGAAUGUGCUUGAUAGAUCCCAUUUUUUCAUGAAAAUAAAGAUAGUCAAUUUGACUGGACUUAAGACUUUAUUAUGUUUUCUGAGAAAGAAUAAGAUAUCAUUAUUCUCUUUAAUAAACUUUUGUCUCGUACGGUAUACUAUAUGAUUUCACCGUUUGUUUCAUCAGAAACAAUCUGGG